GACGAACGCUGGCGGCGUGCUUAACACAUGCAAGUCGAACGAUGAAGCCUAGCUUGCUAGGUGGAUUAGUGGCGAACGGGUGAGUAAUACGUGAGUAACCUACCUUUAACUCUGGGAUAAGCCUGGGAAACUGGGUCUAAUACCGGAUACGACCAAUCUCCGCAUGGGGUGUUGGUGGAAAGCGUUAUGUAGUGGUUAUAGAUGGGCUCACGGCCUAUCAGCUUGUUGGUGAGGUAACGGCUCACCAAGGCGACGACGGGUAGCCGGCCUGAGAGGGUGACCGGCCACACUGGGACUGAGACACGGCCCAGACUCCUACGGGAGGCAGCAGUGGGGAAUAUUGCACAAUGGGCGCAAGCCUGAUGCAGCGACGCCGCGUGAGGGAGGACGGCCUUCGGGUGGUAAACCUCUGUUAGCAGGGAAGAAGAGAAAUUGACGGUACCUGCAGAGAAAGCGCCGGCUAACUACGU
rnacentral:rRNA from 1 species